CCUACGGGAGACAGCAGUGGGGAAUAUUGGGCAAUGGGCGCAAGCCUGACCCAGCAACGCCGCGUGAAGGAAGAAGGCUUUCGGGUUGUAAACUUCUUUUCUCAGGGACGAAGCAAGUGACGGUACAUGAGGAAUAAGCCACGGCUAACUACGUGCCAGCAGCCGCGGUAAUACGUAGGUGGAAAGCGUUAUCCGGAUUUACUGGGGGUAAAGGGCGUGUAGGCGGGACUGCAAGGCGGAUGUGAAAACCACGGGCUCAACCUGUGGCCUGCAUUGGAAACUGUAGUUCUUGAGUACUGGAGAGGCAGGCGGAAUUCCUAGUGUAGCGGUGAAAUGCGUAGAUAUUAGGAGGAACACCAGUGGCGAAGGCGGUCUGCUGGACAGCAACUGACGCUGAGGCGCGAAAGCGUGGGGAGCAAACAGGAUUAGAUACCCUAGUAGUC
rnacentral:rRNA from 1 species